GGGACCCUGACAGCUGAGCUGCCCAGGUUCCCCGAGGUGGUUUUAGUCUUGAUGCGUGUAUUAGGAUUUCCUUAAAGAUCCCCCCCGCCCCCCUCAUAUUCUGACAGGCACAAGUGCCUAGGAUGGUCUUUCCCUGACAGAGUGGCCUCUGUGGUUCCGGGUGGUUGGAAGACCACUGAGGUAGGGCCCUCGGGAAAUGUAUUAAUGGAAUAAAUAAAAGCAGGACCACUUGCUUUUCUCCAAAGGAGAUUCAGUUAGAAUAGGGACUGGUCAGAUCUGUUCUACAGAUGUCAGGAUUGGGCCAGUUAUCAGUAGACGUGUUAGAAGUCUGGUUUAAAGAAACAAUCCUGGGGUUCAGGACAAAGCUGGGGCCCUGCAGCAGGAUAUAAUAGCACUUGGGUAUGGAGCACUUUGCAGUUAGCAGAUCGCUUGCCUGCUUUAACCUGUGGUCAUUUGAAGAAGUAUCUGGGUGCUGACUUUGUGGCAGGCGUAUAGCGACCAUUCAGGGGAGGCUGUGUUCCUCACUUGCCCGAGAGGACGCUGGCGCAGCGGGACUGGCUCCCCGUGUAGCCGGCGAGUCGGCACUGGGGCCACGGUGGGCGCCGGGGGAUCCGGGUCUGCCGUGUGGUUCUCUGUGUCUGACCGUCAGUGCGAAGAGUCGGGGAGGGAGGGUGAGAGCAGUGAGCACGGAUCGAGGUGGUCGGGGUGCUUGAUUCCACGGCGUCGCGCUGCCGUGUUAAAUGCUUUUUGAGCGGAGGCUCCUCUGUGGUGUAAGUAUCUUCCCUUGGAGAUGUCAGUGACUCAAAGAUGGAGAGAAAACGUUCCAGCUGUUUCACAGAUUGGCUCCUCCUUGAGGUCAGGGCUCGGCUCACGGUGGCUUCUUGGUCACAUCUGGCCCAGACCUGUUUCGGUGUGGACCUCCCAGCUCAGAAUUAUUUUAACAAAUUUUUAAAGAAAAUUGAAAA